AAACAACUCUCAGCAACGGAUAUCUUGGCUCUUGCAACGAUGAAGAACGCAGCGAAAUGCGAUACGUAGUGUGAAUUGCAGAAUUCCGCGAAUCAUCGAGUCUUUGAACGCAAGUUGCGCCCGAGGCUUGUCCGAGGGCAUUUCCGCUAGAGCGUCACC
rnacentral:rRNA from 144 species